UGUGUUAAGUGUUCAUCAGCCUGAUAGUCUGAGGGAAGAAACUUUCCUUUAGCCGGCUGGUGCGUAACCAGAUGCUGCGGAACCAUCUGCCUGAGGGUAGCAGACGGUUUUGUCUGUAUAAUUGUACAUGUUAAACUAAUUUAAAUUAGAAGUCCACUAAAUGUUCAUUAACUAAAGUCACAGCAAAAGGUGCUACAAUUAAAGUAGAAAUGCCAAAGUUCCACUGCUUUUUCUGUGACAGCUGUAGGGCUCGUCGGGGGAUUGAACCCAGGACCUCUCGCAUCCUAAGCGAGAAUCAUACCCCUUGACAAACGAGCCCUGAAGAAAGACCCUGCUGUGCCAAAAAAAAUUCUUACUUUUUUAUAAAUACUUUUUGUUCUUGUUGUUUUUAGUAUGUGCCACCUGGGUUGUCUUUGAUGCAGUCCCUUUUAAGUUGGCUGUGCAGCACAAUCCACAAUAGCGAUCUGCUAAAAAGAUUCAGAGUGAGCUUCUGUUUAGAAUACAGUUAAAAGCAUCAGUCUGCAAUAUUAGAAAACCAGUAAAACAACUCAGGUGGACCUAUAGAAAGCCAGGCUAUUUGCUUUAUACGAGCUUACAUGUCCUACAAAUUUAUUAAUAGGACAUACCCUAUUAAUAAACCGCCAUGUUGUGAAACCGAAAGCAAAGCAUCCAGUAAAAAUUCAUGUCUGGGGAGCCAUAUUCCAUCAGGGACCUGGACCGCUAGUUGUGUUAGAAGGAAUUAUGGACAGAUGUUUUUACGAAGACACUAUAAUAAAAUUCAAUCAGGCUCCAUACGUAAAACAACACUUUAAGAACCAUAUCACUUCUUCCAAGGUAGAUACAGUAUGUAGGCCUACUGU